UACGAAGGGGGCUAGCGUUGUUCGGAAUUACUGGGCGUAAAGGGAGCGUAGGCGGACAUUUAAGUCAGAGGUGAAAUCCCGGAGCUUAACUUCGGAACUGCCUUUGAUACUGGAUGUCUUGAGUGUGAGAGAGGUAUGUGGAACUCCGAGUGUAGAGGUGAAAUUCGUAGAUAUUCGGAAGAACACCAGUGGCGAAGGCGACAUACUGGCUCAUUACUGACGCUGAGGCUCGAAAGCGUGGGGAGCAAACAGG
rnacentral:rRNA from 1 species